CCUGGCGACUAUAGCCGUUUGGAACCACCUGAUACCAUCUCGAACUCAGAAGUGAAACAAACUCGCGCCGAUGAUAGUGUGGGG
rnacentral:rRNA from 1 species